UCGUCAUACCUUUAUUCCAAAAAACCCUAUCUUCCCCUUUCAAUCCUUUCAAUUUUGGGUUUGCAAGCCGCGAGCAACGAAGACAAACUCUCCGACGAAGGUUCUCCUCUCCGGCGAAGGUCCUCCUCUCUGACAAAGGUCCUCCUCUCCGACGAUGGUUACUCGGAAUGCGAAGUACGACGGUCGAUGGCUACUUGGCUUCCCCUUAUUUUGAGAUGGAAGUUGCCCUUAUCCUCUCAGGCGACGGGUGACGGGCAACGAGAUACUGAGCAAUCCGAUAGGCAACGAGCGAUGACUACUUGGCUUCCCUUCAUAUAUGUGUGUAUUCAACAACCGAGAAGAGAAGGAAGGAAGGAUUUCAGGGUUAGAGACCAUAGGGCUUGAUUAUUACCUUCAUUGCUGCUAAUUACCAUCUACAUUUCAUCCAUGAAGAACACUCCUAAGUCAGGAUAAGAGAAAGCAAGGGGAUGAGAUUCAGCAUGAAGGUAGUAGCUCCCAAGUACUGACAAGGUCACAAGCAACUUCUCAGCCUAUACAACAAACAAUUUAGGAUAGAUCUUUAGUCCAACAUGCUAUCAAGAACUCGAAAUGGAAGACCAAAUAUGCUAAGAAGAAGUAGACAAAUGUAUGUUGGUGAUGGGAGAGACCAACUGAGAUAUGGAAUUAGUGAUGGGAGAGAGCAACUGGGAUAUGAAACAAGUUCUUUUUUUAUUUAUUUUUUUAUGGGAUGAAAAAAGUUGUUAUGAUAGAUGUUUAAUGGGUAAUGAAACUAUUUGUUUGUUUCCUUAUGUGUUGGAACAAUGAUGUUUAGUUGUGUUGUAGAACAAAUUGUUUGUUUAUUUGGGUUUCAGAAGAAUGAUUUUUAUUUGGUA